rnacentral:rRNA from 1 species
UGGGGAAUUUUGGACAAUGGGCGAAAGCCUGAUCCAGCAAUGCCGCGUGUGUGAAGAAGGCCUUCGGGUUGUAAAGCACUUUUGUCCGGAAAGAAAUCCUCUGGGUUAAUACCUCGGGGGGAGUGACGGUACCGGAAGAAUAAGCACCGGCUAACUACGUGCCAGCAGCCGCGGUAAUACGUAGGGUGCAAGCGUUAAUCGGAAUUACUGGGCGUAAAGCGUGCGCAGGCGGUUUUGUAAGACGGAUGUGAAAUCCCCGGGCUUAACCUGGGAACUGCAUUCGUGACUGCAAGGCUAGAGUAUGGCAGAGGGGGGUAGAAUUCCACGUGUAGCAGUGAAAUGCGUAGAGAUGUGGAGGAAUACCGAUGGCGAAGGCAGCCCCCUGGGCCAAUACUGACGCUCAUGCACGAAAGCGUGGGGAGCAAACAGGAUUAGAUACCCUGGUAGUCCACGCCCUAAACGAUGUCAACUAGUUGUUGGGGAUUCAUUUCCUUAGUAACGUAGCUAACGCGUGAAGUUGACCGCCUGGGG